rnacentral:rRNA from 1 species
UCUUGAAAUUUAAAGAAUUUGGCGGUAAUCUAGUCAGUUUGGAGGAACCUGUUUUUUAAUCGAUACACCCCGAAAUAUCUUACUUACCUUUGAGGUUUGUAUACCUUCAUUAUCAGAUAAUUUUUAAAAAUUAUUAUUUUAAUCUUAAAAUUAAGAGAAAAUUAGAUCAAGGUGCAGUUUUAUAGGUAAGAAAAAAUGGGUUACAUUAUUUAGAAAUUUUGAACAAAUUUUUGAAAUAGAGUUUUGAAAUUGGAUUCAAUUGUAAUUUAGAUUUAAUAAGCUUAAAUGGUAAGUGCUCUAGAUUAUGUACAUAUCGCCCGUCGCA